UACGUAGGGGGCAAGCGUUGUCCGGAUUUAUUGGGCGUAAAGCGCGUGUAGGUGGCCAAGUAGGUCCGCUGUGAAAACUUGAGGCUCAACCUCAAGCUGUCGGUGGAAACCCCUUGGCUAGAGUCCGGAAGAGGAGAGUGGAAUUCCUGGUGUAGCGGUGAAAUGCGCAGAUAUCAGGAAGAACACCAAUGCGAAGGCAGCUCUCUGGGACGGUACUGACACUGAGACGCGAAAGCGUGGGGAGCGAACAGG
rnacentral:rRNA from 1 species